rnacentral:lncRNA from 1 species
AGACCUAAACUUAGGCCUCACUGACUCCUAGCUUGGGCAUGUAAGCACCAGUUGGAUCAGAUACACCAGGGAAACGGAGGCCCAGAGAAGAGAUGUGAUCUGCCCGAUUGUGCAGAAUUCAGAGCCCGGCUGGAAUCUGCAUGUCCUGACCCCCAUCCGGUGCCCACCUUCCUAACUCUACACUGCCUCUCAGGUGACACGCACAGCAGCAGUGAGCCCUGCAGACAGAGACAUUCUAGAACCCAGGCCUGGGACCAGCGCUCAGGAGCCAUACUCUCAGCUAGAUUGCCUUCAGCCUGCCAGGAGGAGGAGCAGCCCAGCCCAGACUGAAAGCCUCCAAGGAGGAAGUUCUACCGGCUUCUCCAUUCCUCCCAACCCACUGUACCUUGUGCAUUCCAUCUGGAAUUUUCUUCUGUUGAAAGGAAGGUGCUGGAUGGGAGGAGGAGGGAGAGGAUCAGGAAAAACAACUAAUAAAUACUAGGCUUAAUAUCUGA